rnacentral:rRNA from 1 species
CUACGGGAGGCAGCAGUGGGGAAUAUUGGACAAUGGGCGCAAGCCUGAUCCAGCCAUGCCGCGUGAGUGAUGAAGGCCCUAGGGUUGUAAAGCUCUUUCGCCAGGGACGAUAAUGACGGUACCUGGAUAAGAAGCCCCGGCUAACUUCGUGCCAGCAGCCGCGGUAAUACGAAGGGGGCUAGCGUUGUUCGGAAUCACUGGGCGUAAAGCGCACGUAGGCGGACUGUUAAGUCGGGGGUGAAAUCCUGGGGCUCAACCCCAGAACUGCCCUCGAUACCGACGGUCUUGAGUGUGGGAGAGGUUGGUGGAACUCCGAGUGUAGAGGUGAAAUUCGUAGAUAUUCGGAAGAACACCAGUGGCGAAGGCGGCCAACUGGCCCAUUACUGACGCUGAGGUGCGAAAGCGUGGGGAGCAAACAGGAUUAGAAACCCUGGUAGUCC